AGCGUAGACGGAUGGACAAGUCUGAUGAGAAAGGCUGGGGCUCAACCCCGGGACUGCAUUGGAAACUGCCCGUCUUGAGUGCCGGAGAGGUAAGCGGAAUUCCUAGUGUAGCGGUGAAAUGCGUAGAUAUUAGGAGGAACACCAGUGGCGAAGGCGGCUUACUGGACGGUAACUGACGUUGAGGCUCGAAAGCGUGGGGAGCAAACA
rnacentral:rRNA from 1 species